UAGUUGUAGCUAAAUUGAUUAUGAAGUUUUACUGGCCGGUUGUCGUUGACCUCAGUCGAUAAAUCUGCUUACUGAACUUCAUAUAUUC